rnacentral:rRNA from 1 species
GACGAACGCUGGCGGCGUGCUUAACACAUGCAAGUCGAACGGAAAGGCCCUGCUUUUGUGGGGUGCUCGAGUGGCGAACGGGUGAGUAACACGUGAGUAACCUGCCCUUGACUUUGGGAUAACUUCAGGAAACUGGGGCUAAUACCGGAUAGGAGCUCCUGCUGCAUGGUGGGGGUUGGAAAGUUUCGGCGGUUGGGGAUGGACUCGCGGCUUAUCAGCUUGUUGGUGGGGUAGUGGCUUACCAAGGCUUUGACGGGUAGCCGGCCUGAGAGGGUGACCGGCCACAUUGGGACUGAGAGACGGACCAGACUCCUACGGGAGGCAGCAGUGGGGAAUAUUGCACAAUGGGCGGAAGCCUGAUGCAGAAAUGCCGCGUGCGGGAUGACGGCCUUCGGGUUGUAAACCGCUUUCGACUGUGACGAAGAGUGAGUGACGGUAAUGGGUAAAGAAGCAACGGCUAACUACGUG